rnacentral:ncRNA from 1 species
CUGUUUAAUUUAAACAAAGGCAACAGUAGGUACUGAUAUGAUAUGGUUUCUGCCCAGUACAUUCAAUGUCAGAGUGAAAAAAUUCAAUGAAGUUAAAUAAAUGGCAGAGUAACUAUGAUUCUCUUAAGCCAAUGCUUCGUCAUCUAAUCAGAGACAUGUAUGAAUUCA